rnacentral:tRNA from 1 species
GCCUGGGUGGCUCAGCUGGUUGAGCAUUUGACUUCGGCUCAGAUCAUGAUCUCAUGGCUUUUGAGUUCGAGCCUCACGUUGGGCU